rnacentral:sRNA from 1 species
UUUAAAUGCAGUGUCUAGGAUCUAGGAUCCACAAAAGAUGGCUGUCAUGCUAAUAUGCCUUUCCUACAGGAUACCACUUCCCACUCAUCUUCCAAGGGGGGUGGAGGAGCGGGAGGAACUGGUGUUUUCAAGUCCGGCUGGCUCUACAAGGGGAAUUUUAACAGCACCGUGAACAACACCGUUACUGUUCGGUCAUUCAAAAAGCGCUACUUCCAGCUGACUCAGUUGCCAGAUAACUCCUACAUUAUGAAUUUUUACAAAGAUGAGAAAAUAUCCAAAGAACCCAAAGGAUGCAUCUUUUUGGAUUCCUGCACAGGAGUGGUGCAGAAUAACAGACUAAGAAAAUAUGCCUUUGAAUUGAAAAUGAAUGACCUGACCUAUUUUGUGCUGGCAGCUGAAACAGAGUCAGAUAUGGAUGAGUGGAUCCACACCCUCAACCGCAUUCUGCAAAUCAGUCCUGAGGGGCCCCUCCAAGGGAGGAGGAGCACAGAGCUCACUGAUCUGGGUCUGGAUUCGCUGGAUAAUUCUGUAACUUGUGAAUGCAUGCCAGAGGAAAUAGAUUC